ACACACACACACACACACACGUUUGUCUCCCAAACUACACACACGCACACACACCAGAUUCAUCUCCCAAACUCCACACGCACCAGAUUCAUCUCCCAAACUCCACACACACACAGAGUCAUCUCCCAAACUCCACAAACACACACACACACAUCAGAUUCGUCUCCCAAACUCCACACACACACAUGCACCAGAUUUGUCUCCCAAACUCCACACACACACACACAC
rnacentral:lncRNA from 1 species